UACGUAGGGUGCGAGCGUUAAUCGGAUUGACUGGGCGUAAAGCGCACGCAGGCGGCCGUGCACGUGGGGUGUGAAAGCGCUCGGCUUAACUGAGCGAUGCCACCUCAUACGGCAGGGCUCGAGCCCGUGAGAGGUCCACGGAAUUGCCGGUGUAGUGGUGAAAUGCGUAGAGAUCGGCAGGAACACCCAGGGGGAAACCAGUGGACUGGCACGGUGCUGACGCUCAGGUGCGAAAGCGUGGGGAGCGAACCGG
rnacentral:rRNA from 1 species